rnacentral:misc_RNA from 1 species
AAGUCGUAACAAGGUUUCCGUAGGUGAACCUGCGGAAGGAUCAUUAAAGAGAAAGGGUUAUUCGUAGCCCGACCUCCAACCCUUUGUUGUUAUAACUACCUCGUUGCUUUGGCGGGACCGCUCGGUCUCGAGCUGCCGGUCUUCGGCCCGGCAAGCGCCCGCCAGAGUCUACUCAAACUCUUGUUUUAACCGGUCGUCUGAGUAAAAAUUUUAAUUAAAUUAAAACUUUCAACAACGGAUCUCUUGGUUCUC